rnacentral:rRNA from 1 species
UACGUAGGGUGCGAGCGUUAAUCGGAAUUACUGGGCGUAAAGCGUGCGCAGGCGGUUUUGUAAGCCAGAUGUGAAAUCCCCGGGCUCAACCUGGGAAUUGCGGUUGAAACUGGCGGACUAGAAUCUGGCAGAGGGGGGUGGAAUUCCACGUGUAGCAGUGAAAUGCGUAGAGAUGUGGAGGAACACCGAUGGCGAAGGCAGCCCCCUGGGCUGAGAUUGACGCUCAGGCACGAAAGCGUGGGGAGCAAACAGG